rnacentral:lncRNA from 1 species
GAUCCGGCUCAGCCGGUCGCACCACAGAGACGAGGAGCGGUGCAGUGGUGGAAAUCAUUCCUGCUCCGUUUCUGACAGACGUGGCCAAAUUCUGAACAAAGGCUUUUGGAUCACGCAGCACUUUGGGCUUUUACAACCGCAUUCAAGAGGUGAGCUCUCGGAGCUCGGCUUCAGGGGAAGACGAUGGUGGUCUCCAUGGAAACUGCGGCUGGCCAAUGGUUCGGUCUGAGCAGCGAUUCAACUGUCUGUUGACCUUUGUGCUGUGAUCGUCUUCCUCCUCUACAACGUGAGCAGCACCAGCAAAGCGAGGACUCGCCGUUCGGUGCCUGGAUGUGAAUCCC